rfam:Cavia porcellus supercont2_68 genomic scaffold, whole genome shotgun sequence.
CGUAGAAUAAGUAAGUAAGUUACACUGACAUUGGAAUGAUACAGGGAGGAUCACCACGGCCCCUGUACAAGGAAGAUGCUCAACUUUGUGAGGCAUCCCAAAAUUUU